rnacentral:rRNA from 1 species
AGAGUUUGAUCCUGGCUCAGGACGAACGCUGGCGGCGCGCCUAACACAUGCAAAGUCGAACGGGACUAUACUCGGUAAGAAGUUUUCGGUAUGGAUUUGGGAUAGUUAGUGGCGGACGGGCGAGUAACACGUGAGCAACCUGCCUUCGAGAGGGGAAUAACGGCUGGAAACGGUCGCUAAUACCGCAUAACGUACGGAUGGGACAUCCUGUCUGUACCAAAGAUUUAUCGCUCGAAGAUGGGCUCGCGUCCGAUUAGGUAGUUGGUGAGGUAACGGCCCACCAAGCCGACGAUCGGUAGCCGGACUGAGAGGUUGAACGGCCACAUUGGGACUGAGACACGGCCCAGACUCCUACGGGAGGCAGCAGUGGGGGAUAUUGCACAAUGGGGGAAACCCUGAUGCAGCGACGCCGCGUGUGGGAAGACGGUCUUCUGGAUGGUAAACCACUGUCCCCAGGGACGAAAAUGACGGUACCUGGGGAGGAAGCUCCGGCUAACUACGUG